UUAAAUUGAAGAGUUUGAUCAUGGCUCAGAUUGAACGCUGGCGGCAGGCCUAACACAUGCAAGUCGAACGGUAACAGGAAGCAGCUUGCUGAUUCGCUG
rnacentral:rRNA from 1 species